rnacentral:rRNA from 1 species
GAUGAACGCUGGCGGCGUGCCUAAUACAUGCAAGUCGAGCGAACGGACGAGAAGCUUGCUUUUCUGAUGUUAGCGGCGGACGGGUGAGUAACACGUGGAUAACCUACCUAUAAGACUGGGAUAACUUCGGGAAACCGGAGCUAAUACCGGCUAAUAUUUUGAACCGCAUGGUUCAAAAGUGAAAGACGGUCUUGCUGUCACUUAUAGAUGGAUCCGCGCUGCAUUAGCUAGUUGGUAAGGUAACGGCUUACCAAGGCAACGAUGCAUAGCCGACCUGAGAGGAUGAUCGGCCACACUGGAACUGAGACACGGUCCAGACUCCUACGGGAGGCAGCAGUAGGGAAUCUUGCGCAAUGGGCGAAAGCCUGACGGAGCAACGCCGCGUGAGUGAUGAAGGUCUUCGGAUCGUAAAACUCUGUUAUUAGGGAAGAACAUAUGUGUAAGUAACUGUGCACAUCUUGACGGUACCCAAACAGAAAGCCACGGCUAACUACGUG